AAUAAAAAUAAAAAUAGCAAAUAUAAUUUAGGCAUAGAACAUUCCUGAACUAAUUUAAUUGCAUAUUUCUUUAAAGCAGACAACCACCUGGAAGGAGUCGUAACAGCAAGAGCAAAUCGAUUUUGGCUAUACGCAUGUCCUGCUUUACCGGCCUACAGAUUACAUGUGUAACGUAUAAUCAAUCACACUAUGUGGAGUGUGCACAUAUCCCUCCAUCUUUUAUUAACCCUUAUUUCUCUCCUGAAGACAUUUUCAUAUAUCUCAACAUGUGUCAUCAAGUCAAAAGAGAAAGGAUGAAUGCACUAAAUGAAUGUUAUUACAUGUACUGCUAAAAAUAAUCACCAAAUCAUAAAUGGUAAAAAGAAAAAAGAAGAAGAAAACCAAACAGACGCAACAAAAUACCCUCCUAUCCAAAGAAGUUAUAUCUCUUGGUGGCAUUUCAAUUAAAACAAAAUCUACCCAAGAGAACCAGAGAGUAUUCUUACAGGAAUUUAGAAACACCCUCUUGCCUGAGGACAUAUCAUCUGAUACUGAGGAUGGAGUGCUCAACCUUAGAAUAUCUCCAACAUUAACCUUGCAUGAACUCAGUCACAAGACAGGAGCUCAUAGUCCUUUACACAUCUUGGAACCACUCCAGCAAGGAGAAGAGUCACCCUUCCAGGAGAAAAACAAUAAAUAUCUUCAGUCCCUUUUACCUUCAAAGAGAGACUACUGUAUUGGUUAAGAAUAUAAACUUCGAAUUCAUGAACUGGAUUCAAAUGGUGGUUCUACCAUUUUUAGGGUGGAACUUUGGACAACUCACACUUCUUGAGGUUCUUUCCUCAUUUGUCAUAUAGGAUUAAUAAUAUUUAGUUCUUACCCUGAAGACUAAGUGGUAUUAAGAAUGAAAAAAUCUGAGUUGAAUGCUUGGACAUUAUAGGCAUUAAAUAAUUGUGUUUUUUUUGUCCUGGGAAGC